rnacentral:rRNA from 1 species
GCCAUACCGCGUGGGUGAAGAAGGCCUUCGGGUUGUAAAGCCCUUUUGUUGGGAAAGAAAAGCAGUCGAUUAAUACUCGGUUGUUCUGACGGUACCCAAAGAAUAAGCACCGGCUAACUUCGUGCCAGCAGCCGCGGUAAUACUAAGGGUGCAAGCGUUACUCGGAAUUACUGGGCGUAAAGCGUGCGUAGGUGGUUGUUUAAGUCUGUUGUGAAAGCCCUGGGCUCAACCUGGGAAUUGCAGUGGAUACUGGGCGACUAGAGUGUGGUAGAGGGUAGUGGAAUUCCCGGUGUAACAACGAAAUGCGUAAAGAUCGGGAGGUACAUCCAUGGCGAAGGCAGCUACCUGGACCAACACUGACACUGAGGAUCGAAAGCGUGGGGAGCAAACAGGAUUAAAUACCCUGGUAGUCCACGCCCUAAACGAUGCGAACUGGAUGUUGGGUGCAAUUUGGCACGCACUAUCGAAGCUAACGCGUUAAGUUCGCCGCCUGGGGAGUACUGUCGCAAGACUGAAACUCCGGGAAUUGACGGGGGCCCGCACAAGCGGUGGAGUAAGUGGUUUAAUUCUAUGCCACGCGAAGAACCUUACCUGGACUUGACAUGUCCAGAA